rnacentral:rRNA from 1 species
GACAGAGGGGGCGAGCGUUGUCCGGAGUCACUGGGCGUAAAGCGCGCGCAGGCGGCAACCUUAGUGUCGUGUGAAAGCCCCCGGCUCAACCGGGGGAGGCCAUGGCAAACUGGGUCGCUCGAGCUGCGGAGAGGCUCCUCGAAUUGCCGGUGUAGCGGUGAAAUGCGUAGAGAUCGGCAGGAAGACCAAGGGGGGAAGCCAGGGGGCUGGCCGCAGGCUGACGCUGAGGCGCGACAGCGUGGGGAGCAAACCGG